rnacentral:rRNA from 1 species
GACGAAGGACCCAAGCGUUAUCCGGAUUCAUUGGGUUUAAAGGGUGCGUAGGCGGGUUGAUAAGUCAGUGGUGAAAGCCCAACGCUUAACGUUGGAACUGCCAUUGAUACUGUCGAUCUUGAAUGUGUUUGAUGUGGGCGGAAUAUGACAUGUAGCGGUGAAAUGCUUAGAUAUGUCAUAGAACACCGAUUGCGAAGGCAGCUCACAAAGCCAUAAUUGACGCUGAGGCACGAAAGCGUGGGGAUCAAACAGGAUUAGAUACCCUGGUAGUCCACGCCGUAAACUUUGAUCACUCGCUGUUGGCGAUACACAGUCAGCGGCUAAGCGAAAGCGUUAAGUGAUCCACCUGGGGAGUACGAUCGCAAGAUUG